GGAAGACUGCAGGCUCCAGGAGAACCUGCCACCCAGCAGGAAUGACCUGUGCCUGGGAGAUCCCUGGCCAUGGCUCCCUUCAUGGGAGGAGCCAUGACUGCAUUCCCAAUGGACUGUGCCUUCCUCACAAACCUCAGCGAGAGAUCCAGUGAAUUCAGUGGAGAUACUUCUGACUCACAACAGCAUCCAGGCACCUACUGACAGAGAAUACUAGAGAAGAGACGACAGGAAUUAAACCAAUCCAAAUCUGACAACUAGGAAGAUUGGACAGAACAAAGUGACCACCAAAAGCGGGACUUUGUGGGCCAGUUGGAUAAAACAUAAGCUCAUCUCGCCCCCAAAACCCCGACUCU